UAUUAUAAUACAUGUAAAUUUGUAAUGAUGCUUGAGUAGUAAUAGUUAUGUUCUUGAAACUCAAAGAAUUUGGCGGUGUUUUAGUCCUUUCAGAGGAAUCUGUUCUGUAAUUGAUGAUACACAAUUAAUAUUUACCUUCUCUGAUUUAGUUUAUAUAUCGCCGUCAUAAGAUUAUCUUUAGGAGAGGUAAAAAUUUCUUUGUUUUUAAUUUGAAAAUAUGUCAGGUCAAGGUGUAGCUUAUGGGGAGGAAGAAAUGGAUUACAAUAAUUUUAAUUAUACGGAUAGUAUAGUGAUAAUUACUUGAAGGUGGAUUUGAUUGUAAAUUUAUUUAUAAUGGUUUUUUGAUUAGGGCUCUAAAAUGUGUACACAUCGCCCGUCGCUCUCGUUAUAAUAUGAG
rnacentral:rRNA from 1 species